GUCCACGCCGUAAACGAUGGAUGCUAGCCGUUGGUAAGCAUGCUUAUCAGUGGCGCAGCUAACGCAUUAAGCAUCCCGCCUGGGGAGUACGGCCGCAAGGUUGAAACUCAAAGGAAUUGACGGGGGCCCCGCACAAGCGGUGGAGCAUGUGGUUUAAUUCGACGCAACGCGCAGAACCUUACCAGGGUUUGACAUCCUGUGCUCACCCCAGAGAUGGGGUUUCCCCGCAAGGGGCGCAGAGACAGGUGCUGCAUGGCUGUCGU
rnacentral:rRNA from 1 species